AGCGAACGCUGGCGGCAGGCCUAACACAUGCAAGUCGAACGAAGUCUUCGGACUUAGCGGCGGACGGGUGAGUAACACGUGGGAACGUACCUUUUGGUUCGGAACAACUCAGGGAAACUUGAGCUAAUACCGGAUGAGCCCUUAGGGGGAAAGAUUUAUAGCCGAAGGGCCGGCCCGCGUUAGAUUAGCCAGAUGGUGAGGUAAAGGCUCACCAAGGCUAAGAUCUAUAACUGGUCUGAGAGGAUGAUGAGCCACACUGGGACUGAGACACGGACGAGACGCCUACUGGAGGCAGCAGUGGGGAGUCAUGAGCAAUGGGCGAAUGGCUGUCGCGGCUAUGCCGCGUGAAUGAUAAAGGUGUGAGGAUUGUAAUAUUAUUUUACCAGUGACGAUAAUGACAGAACCUGGAGAAAAAGCCCCGGCUAACUUCGUGCCAGCCGCCGCCGUAACAC
rnacentral:rRNA from 1 species